rnacentral:rRNA from 1 species
AUUGAACGCUGGCGGAAUGCUUUACACAUGCAAGUCGAACGGCAGCACGGGGCAACCUGGUGGCGAGUGGCGAACGGGUGAGUAAUAUAUCGGAACGUGCCCAAUCGUGGGGGAUAACGUAGCGAAAGUUACGCUAAUACCGCAUACGAUCUACGGAUGAAAGCGGGGGAUCGCAAGACCUCGCGCGAAUGGAGCGGCCGAUAUCAGAUUAGGUAGUUGGUGGGGUAAAGGCUCACCAAGCCAACGAUCUGUAGCUGGUCUGAGAGGACGACCAGCCACACUGGAACUGAGACACGGUCCAGACUCCUACGGGAGGCAGCAGUGGGGAAUUUUGGACAAUGGGCGCAAGCCUGAUCCAGCCAUUCCGCGUGCAGGAUGAAGGCCUCGGUGUAACUGCUUUGUACGGUACG